rnacentral:rRNA from 1 species
GGGUUGUGAGGUUAAGCGACUAAGCGUACACGGUGGAUGCCCUGGCAGUCAGAGGCGAUGAAGGACGUGCUAAUCUGCGAUAAGCGCCGGUAAGGUGAUAUGAACCGUUAUAACCGGCGAUUUCCGAAUGGGGAAACCCAGUGUGAUUCGUCACACUAUCAUUAACUGAAUCCAUAGGUUAAUGAGGCGAACCGGGGGAACUGAAACAUCUAAGUACCCCGAGGAAAAGAAAUCAACCGAGAUUCCCCCAGUAGCGGCGAGCGAACGGGGAGGAGCCCAGAGCCUGAAUCAGCAUGUGUGUUAGUGGAAGCGUCUGGAAAGGCGCGCGAUACAGGGUGACAGCCCCGUACACAAAAGCGCAUGUGCUGUGAGCUCGAUGAGUAGGGCGGGACACGUGGUAUCCUGUCUGAAUAUGGGGGGACCAUCCUCCAAGGCUAAAUACUCCUGACUGACCGAUAGUGAACCAGUACCGUGAGGGAAAGGCGAAAAGAACCCCGGCGAGGGGAGUGAAAAAGAACCUGAAACCGUGUACGUACAAGCAGUGGGAGCCCCACCACUAAGCCAGUGGUGAACUCCACAUACGCAUCCUUUGCUGAGGAUACGGUUAACGGAGCGAAAGCGACGUUCAACCUCAAAAGAAGCAGAGGGGGCUUAGUGGUGGGGUGACUGCGUACCUUUUGUAUAAUGGGUCAGCGACUUAUAUUCUGUAGCAAGGUUAACCGUAUAGGGGAGCCGGAGGGAAACCGAGUCUUAAUUGGGCGUUAAGUUGCAGGGUAUAGACCCGAAACCCGGUGAUCUAGCCAUGGGCAGGUUGAAGGUUGGGUAACACUAACUGGAGGACCGAACCGACUAAUGUUGAAAAAUUAGCGGAUGACCUGUGGCUGGGGGUGAAAGGCCAAUCAAACCGGGAGAUAGCUGGUUCUCCCCGAAAGCUAUUUAGGUAGCGCCUCGUGAAUUCAUCUUCGGGGGUAGAGCACUGUUUCGGCUAGGGGGUCAUCCCGACUUACCAACCCGAUGCAAACUGCGAAUACCGGAG